rnacentral:rRNA from 1 species
AUUGAACGCUGGCGGCAUGCUUUACACAUGCAAGUCGAACGGUAACGGGGACUUCGGUCUGCCGACGAGUGGCGAACGGGUGAGUAAUAUAUCGGAACGUGCCCAGUAAUGGGGGAUAGCUCGGCGAAAGCCGGAUUAAUACCGCAUACGCCCUGGAGGGGGAAAGUGGGGGAUCUUCGGACCUCACGUUAUUGGAGCGGCCGAUAUCAGAUUAGCUAGUUGGUGGGGUAAAGGCCUACCAAGGCGACGAUCUGUAGCUGGUCUGAGAGGAUGAUCAGCCACACUGGGACUGAGACACGGCCCAGACUCCUACGGGAGGCAGCAGUGGGGAAUUUUGGACAAUGGGCGAAAGCCUGAUCCAGCCAUGCCGCGUGAGUGAAGAAGGCCUCGGUUGUAAG